UACGGGGGGGGCAAGCGUUGUUCGGAAUUACUGGGCGUAAAGGGCUCGUAGGCGGCCAACUAAGUCAUACGUGAAAUCCCUCAGCUUAACUGGGGAACUGCGUGUGAUACUGGAUGGCUUGGAUUUGGGAGAGGGAUGCGGAAUUCCAGGUGUAGCGGUGAAAUGCGUAGAUAUCUGGAGGAACACCGGUGGCGAAGGCGGCAUCCUGGACCAAUAUUGACGCUGAGGAGCGAAAGCCAGGGGAGCAAACGGG
rnacentral:rRNA from 1 species